UGGGGAAUUGUUCGCAAUGGGCGCAAGCCUGACGACGCAACGCCGCGUGGAGGAUGAAGGUCUUCGGAUUGUAAACUCCUGUUGCCUGGGACGAAUGGCUCCAACCUAAUACGUUGGAGUGUGACGGUACCAGGUGAGGAAGCCCCGGCUAACUCUGUGCCAGCAGCCGCGGUAACACGUAGGGGGCAAGCGUUGUCCGGAUUUAUUGGGCGUAAAGAGCUCGUAGGUGGUUCGGUAAGUCGGGUGUGAAAACUCUGGGCUCAACUCAGAGACGCCACCCGAUACUGCUGUGACUUGAGUCUGGUAGGGGAGUGUGGAAUUCCCAGUGUAGCGGUGAAAUGCGCAGAUAUUGGGAGGAACACCAGUGGCGAAGGCGGCACUCUGGGCCAGUACUGACACUGAGGAGCGAAAGCGUGGGUAGCGAA
rnacentral:rRNA from 1 species